rnacentral:rRNA from 1 species
GGGCCCGCACAAGCGGUGGAGCAUGUGGUUUAAUUCUAUGCAACGCGAAGAACCUUACCAGGACUUGACAUACUACAAAUUUUUCUGAGAAGAAAAAGUGCCUUCGGGAAUGUAGAUACAGGUGGUGCAUGGCUGUCGUCAGCUCGUGUCGUGAGAUGUUGGGUUAAGUCCCGCAACGAGCGCAACCCUUAUUUUUAGUUACCAAUUCGUUGGGUUCUCUAGAAAGACUGCCGGUGACAAACCGGAGGAAGGUGAGGAUGACGUCAAGUCAGCAUGCCCCUUAUGUCCUGGGCUACACACGUGCUACAAUGGUUAAGACAAAGAGUCGCAAGCUUGCAAGAGUUAGCUAAUCUCAUAAACUUAGCCUAAGUUCAGAUUGUAGGCUGCAACUCGCCUACAUGAAGUUGGAAUCGCUAGUAAUCG